GCUUUUGUAAUUAUUUAGGGGAAGCAACCACCUUGUUUCCUGGUAUCAGGAGAUCAGACCGGUUACCCGUGUGUCAGGAUAUCUGACCGGUUUCAUGAUAACAGCCGGCGAGCCUAUAUAUAGGACGUGAAUUCUACAAGUGAGACAAGGGAGUCUACGAAGCAAAACACGUGGUCGUAACUUGAGUGCCAGACAGGAUAUACACCUGACGUGUGUGACCAGUACGUGGCAGCUUUCCCUGAAGCACGAUGGAGUACGUGAGAAUUAAUUCCGGAGAAAAUCCAUAUGAGUGCGAACUGUGUGACGCUGCCUUAUCCUGUCUGAGUAGUGCGAAGAUACACAUAAGAAUUCACACGGGAGAGAAACCGUAUAAGUGCGAUCUGUGUGAUGCUGCCUUCUCACAAUCGGGUCA